UACGGAGGAUGCGAGCGUUAUCCGGAUUUAUUGGGUUUAAAGGGUGCGUAGGCGGGCGAUUAAGUCAGCGGUGAAAGUUUGCGGCUCAACCGUAAAAUUGCCGUUGAAACUGGUUGUCUUGAGAGUAAACGAGGUAGGCGGAAUGUAACGUGUAGCGGUGAAAUGCUUAGAUAUGUUACAGAACUCCGAUUGCGAAGGCAGCUUACCAGGCUAUGUCUGACGCUGAGGCACGAAAGCGUGGGUAU
rnacentral:rRNA from 1 species